AUUACUAUGGAAAUACUUUGAAUGACAGAGUCUUGCUUAAAGAUGGAUUCAUCUAAGCUCAGAUCUCAUACCUGGCUUCUUUUCAAAAGAGAGAUGCAAGUUCAAAAGGAAGAGGAAGUGUGACCGACUCUUCACUUCCCUUGGGUGUGGCAAGCAUCAUCCCUCUGUGCAGAGGAGUGGUGUUUCAUUUAGUUGAUCACGAUAGACUUCGUAUCACACCUGUUUGAAAUGCAUUACUUCUCUGUUGAUAAAGUUCAACACUGAGGCAGCAAUUUGGCCAGGAGCUGGCUGUGGUCUGGGAUAUUGUGAGGCAUGGCUGUAUAUUCCAUAUACCUGAACCAUUGAAAGGCUUAAUGGAACUCCUAGUGACUCUCCCAUCUCUCAUUUCACACUCAAGGCAGCAGUUUUAAAAGACUACAGCUAUGACUGAGAAAGGAAAGUCUGGAAAUUAACAACAAUGUAGUACUGAAGUGUCCAUACCUGAAUUCAGUGUUCUGCACACAAAGUGAUGAACUUCAAACACAUUUCCAAAGUUCAAGACAAAAGAAUGUUAUGUUUGCAUGACUAUUAAAACAAAUUACAAGUGUGAUGUUUAAUGGUUAUAGAUAUGUUGAUGUCAAAGUCUUUAUUGUAUGCCUCCACAGGAAAUCUCUAUUAGACUUUAGUAACCAACACUUCUAAUUUUGUUUUAAUAUAUUGAAAAUAAAAAUUGUAUCAGCUUGUACCUCAAUUCAUGGUUUCCCAUUGUAUUCCAUAGUGCCAUGGAUAAAGGACCAGCUUAGAGGAAAAGUGAAGUUGG